UACGAAGGGGGCGAGCGUUGUUCGGAUUUACUGGGCGUAAAGGGCGCGUAGGCGGCCUUGUCAGUCAGGCGUGAAAUCCCCGGGCUCAACCCGGGAACUGCGUCUGAUACUGGAGGGCUUGAAUCCGGGAGAGGGAUGUGGAAUUCCAGGUGUAGCGGUGAAAUGCGUAGAUAUCUGGAGGAACACCGGUGGCGAAGGCGGCAUCCUGGACCGGUAUUGACGCUGAGGCGCGAAAGCCAGGGGAGCAAACGGG
rnacentral:rRNA from 1 species